rnacentral:rRNA from 1 species
GAUGAACGCUAGCUACAGGCUUAACACAUGCAAGUCGAGGGACCGGCGCACGGGUGAGUAACACGUAUCCAACCUGCCCUUUACUCGGGGAUAGCCUUUCGAAAGAAAGAUUAAUACCCGAUAUAAAGGAUGGGGAUGCGUUCGAUUAGGUUGUUGGUGAGGUAACGGCUCACCAAGCCUUCGAUGGAUGGGGGUGCUGAGAGGAAGGUCCACCACAUCUGAACUGAGGUACGGUCCAAACUCGUACGGGGGGGUGCAGUGAGGAAUAUUGGUCAAUGGGCGCUGGCCUGAACCAGCCAAGUAGCGUGAGGGAGGAAGGCUUAUGAGUCGUAAACUUGUUGUGUAGAAGAAUAUGUAUUAGAUGAAUAAGGAUCGGCUAACUCCGUGCCAGCAGCCGCGGUAAUUC